UGGGGAAUUUUGGACAAUGGGCGAAAGCCUGAUCCAGCAAUGCCGCGUGUGUGAAGAAGGCCUUCGGGUUGUAAAGCACUUUUGUCCGGAAAGAAAUCCUUGGCUCUAAUACAGUCGGGGGAUGACGGUACCGGAAGAAUAAGCACCGGCUAACUACGUGCCAGCAGCCGCGGUAAUACGUAGGGUGCAAGCGUUAAUCGGAAUUACUGGGCGUAAAGCGUGCGCAGGCGGUUUGCUAAGACCGAUGUGAAAUCCCCGGGCUCAACCUGGGAACUGCAUUGGUGACUGGCAGGCUAGAGUAUGGCAGAGGGGGGUAGAAUUCCACGUGUAGCAGUGAAAUGCGUAGAGAUGUGGAGGAAUACCGAUGGCGAAGGCAGCCCCCUGGGCAAUACUGACGCUCAUGCACGAAAGCGUGGGGAGCAAACAGGAUUAGAUACCCUGGUAGUCCACGCCCUAAACGAUGUCAACUAGUUGUUGGGGAUUCAUUUCCUUAGUAACGUAGCUAACGCGUGAAGUUGACCGCCUGGGGAGUACGGUCGCAAGAUUAAAACUUAAAUGAAUUGAC
rnacentral:rRNA from 1 species